UCCUGCUUCGAGUGAACCCAUUAAGGAUUGCGAUGUGGCUGCUCAGAUCAUGAAAACCAUUUCUGCUGACCAGAAAGUUUUCACCCCCAAUGUCUUGCUUCUUGAAAUUAGGGGGAAGAAGGCUCUUCCUCCUUCUUGAGCUUUGACGCUUGUUUUCACUUUUCUGAAGGUUUCAUGAGUCAUGACACUCACUAUCAAAGAUGUCUUUGCCCUGACGUGCCUUCCUCCUGCACACUUAACUUCUUUUAAGUUUUCGCAUUUAUUCACCUGCCCAAAAGAAGCAAUUGCGCUUUUAUUUGUUGCAAAACGAGUUCAUGGCUUGGGCUCCAUUUUGUACAAUGAAGAGUGUUCGUUUUACCUCUUGUGGCUCUGUAGAUCAUUGUUCAAAAUUACUUCGAGGAGGAUUAUUUCCACCUAUGUGCUAAUUGCUUGAGCUCAAGCACAAGGAAUUUGAGUAGCGAUGGGCCCUAUGUUUCCGGCUGAUGUUUACAGCAGAGCUAUGGUAUUGGCUUGUGCUUCUCCAUGUAAUGUAAUAUCCUAGGGGGUCAUUUAUGGUUUGUUCAGCUUUGGGCAUACACCUAUUUCCAAAGAUGAGUCCAACUCCUAUGGACAGCAUUGGUCCGAUGCCAUGCCAGAUACGACAAGUUCUAGGACAUUCCGUCAUUCAAACAGUGGUUUGAUAAUUCUCCAAAUAUGGUAGAACCUACAAUAUUGUAGAUUUCAAGCCUUUCAAUGAAAUGAAAUUUGGGUUCUUGGAAUUUAAGACCCUAUAUUCUAUGGCAGAUGAUGAUAAGACUCGAGCCAUAUACGCCAACAUUCUCCAAACUUGAGAUUUACUUGUUUUUGGCUAGAGAUAUAUAGUCCUUUUGUUGCACGCCAACUAGGCUUUGAGCAACUAGUAUCUUUUCCCCGAGUCUAUACUGAAAUAACCCAGGUACUCAAGAAGAAGCUUGAGGAAAGAAGAGAUCACUUCUUUUGUGAAGAAGAGUAAAGAUUUGGCAAAGAAGUUCAUUUUUCUGUGUUUUAUACAUUGCUCGUGCACUUCUGCCAAAUUUCAAGACUGAUGGGAUGGAUAUAUGGCAACUAGGAAUGAUAUAGACUCAAUGGUCAGGCCUUGUUUGGUUUUUUAUUUUUUUCAUCACUCAUCACUCAUAAUCCAUCACUUAAAAAUACAUACAUUGUUUGACACCAUCACCCACUUCCAUCACUCAAUAUCAAACUGUUUUGUUACCUGCGAAAGGCUUUCCUCCCCAUCUUUUUCUCUGUUCUCAUUUUCUCUUUCCCCUUCAGCCCUAUCACUCUCACAAAGCACAAACCCGAACCCAUAAAAAUUUCUCGUUGCAUUUUGAAGGUCAUCAAAGUCCUUGAAGGCUUCGAUUAUGAACUCUCCAACCGCAAAGAUAUCAACAGGAUUCUGGGUCCUAAAGCUUCUUGCAUUUCCUUCAAAGACUCUGCUCGUCGUUGCUUUGGCUACAUGGUGUCCAAGAAGAAGUAUAUCUACACAAUUGACGAUGACUGCUUUCAUCACAGUCUGUAAAGAAAAUCAUUGAAAUCAAUCCUUACAUGCUUGGCACUAUGGCUGGAGGAGCUGCUGACUAUCAAUUUUGGCACAGAAAUCUGGGCAUUAAGUGCGAUUGCACGGAUUGGCAAACAAGCGCAGAAUUUCAGUCACAGGGGCAUCAAAGCUGUUGGCAAACAUUCUGUACUCUUACCGUGGAAUGGGUCUGUCUGUUGGGACCAUGAUUGCUGGAUGGGAUGAGAUUGUAAAGACACAUGACUGUAUCAUGUCAUGUUAUUUUGUACUCUUUUAAGCAGACUCUUGUAAUUUGCAUUUUCUAUUGGUUGUAGAUAGUAUUACUUCCUUUAAAUAUCAGAUAUAAGAGCAAGAAUUAGGGACUGAAUUGAGGACUGAAUUUGUAAUUUGUAUUCUUUACUCCUCCUCCCUGCUUUCUGCCCAGGUUUAUGGAUGUAUGGGAGGACUGAAUUGAGGGCUAAGCAUUGAAAUUUGAAAGAGUUCCUAGAAUUUUGUAA